rnacentral:lncRNA from 1 species
CUUUUAAACCAUUUUUUAUUGCCAAUUUUGAAUUAUUUCCUUAAGAUAGUCUGUGAAGUAGGAUGGCCAUCAAAAAACAUUAAUACUUCUAUGGCUCUUUAUGCUUUCUAGCCAUCAAUAGUGUAUACCAGUUUUACCAUGGUCUUGGCUGGCUUUGAGUAUUAUUUUCCAAAAUAAAUAGCAGUUUUCUUUCUUUCUCUUUUCAUCUAGUGUGUCUAAAAUGGCACCCCAUUGUUUCCUUUCUCUCAUUUUUGGAGCCAAGGGAAGUGAUGUGCACUGUGGCUUCUCUAUCCAAUUUUCAUUUGAUAACACACUUACAGAUGUAUAAUGCCAAGUCAAAAUAGGACUCAGGUGACAGGGAGAGGAAGCAGAAACCACAACCCCUACCAAGAAAGGGUACUAGAAGAGAAACCUUGUACUUCUAGAGGUAAAUUAAGUUCAGUUAAGGUUGGAGGACUUACCCAAAUUCCAACUGGUUUUCAUUGAACUAGUUUGAUAGUUGCUCUUUUAUUUGUAUCAUGUUUUAUUUUAGAUAUUAACAAAUAAAUUAAGGUCUUGAGAAAACUAAUUGAAAUAAUAUUUCUAUUUUGAUGUAAGAGAUGUAAAAUCACAAUAAGCAGUUGAGUUUCCUUUGUCUUAAAGCCCAAUGCUGUCUUGUGUUAUAAUGAUGAAGUUUAUAGCAGUAUAAACUUUUGUUGACAUUGCUAUUGUGUGGUAAAUUAAAUAUCUUAUGAUGAUGAUAUAUAUUUUAGGCAAGUAAUUUGCAUUUAGCGGUAUUCUAUUAUUCUAGAGCAGUGGUUCUUGACCAGGGAUGAUUUGCUCUCCAGGGAACAUUUAGAAAUGUCUGGAGAUAUUUUUGAAUGUUGUGGUGGCAGAUGCGAUGACAUCUAGUGAGUAGAGGUCAGGGACAGUGUUAAACAAUUCUACAGUGUACUAAACAGCUUCC